rnacentral:rRNA from 1 species
GAACGCUGGCGGCAUGCCUUACACAUGCAAGUCGAACGGCAGCACGGGAGCAAUCCUGGUGGCGAGUGGCGAACGGGUGAGUAAUAUAUCGGAACGUGCCCGGUCGUGGGGGAUAACGUAGCGAAAGCUACGCUAAUACCGCAUACGAUCUACGGAUGAAAGCGGGGGAUCGCAAGACCUCGCGCGAUUGGAGCGGCCGAUAUCAGAUUAGGUAGUUGGUGAAGUAAAGGCUCACCAAGCCGACGAUCUGUAGCUGGUCUGAGAGGACGACCAGCCACACUGGGACUGAGACACGGCCCAGACUCCUACGGGAGGCAGCAGUGGGGAAUUUUGGACGAUGGGCGCAAGCCUGAUCCAGCAAUGCCGCGUGCAGGAUGAAGGCCUUCGGGUUGUAAACUGCUUUUGUACGGAACGAAACGGUGAGCUCUAAUACAGUUUGCUAAUGACGGUACCGUAAGAAUAAGCACCGGCUAACUACGUG